GACGAACGCUGGCGGCGUGCUUAACACAUGCAAGUCGAACGGAAAGGCCCUGCUUUUGUGGGGUGCUCGAGUGGCGAACGGGUGAGUAACACGUGAGUAACCUGCCCUUGACUUUGGGAUAACUUCAGGAAACUGGGGCUAAUACCGGAUAGGAGCUCCUGCUGCAUGGUGGGGGUUGGAAAGUUUCGGCGGUUGGGGAUGGACUCGCGGCUUAUCAGCUUGUUGGUGGGGUAGUGGCUUACCAAGGCUUUGACGGGUAGCCGGCCUGAGAGGGUGACCGACCAUAUUGGGACUGAGAUACGGCCCAGACUCCUACGGGAGGCAGCAGUGGGGAAUAUUGCACAAUGGGCGGAAGCCUGAUGCAGCAACGCCGCGUGCGGGAUGACGGCCUUCGGGUUGUAAACCGCUUUCGCCUGUGACGAAGCGUGAGUGACGGUAAUGGGUAAAGAAGCACCGGCUAACUACGUG
rnacentral:rRNA from 1 species